AGAGUUUGAUCCUGGCUCAGGACGAACGCUGGCGGCGUGCUUAACACAUGCAAGUCGAACGGUGAUCCUUGGUGCUUGCACUGAGGGGAUCAGUGGCGAACGGGUGAGUAACACGUGAGUAACCUGCCCCAGACUCUGGAAUAACCCCGGGAAACCGGAGCUAAUACCGGAUAUGAAGUAGAGCUGCAUGGCUACUACUUGGAAAGUUUUUCGGUCUGGGAUGGACUCGCGGCCUAUCAGCUUGUUGGUGAGGUAAUGGCUCACCAAGGCGACGACGGGUAGCCGGCCUGAGAGGGCGACCGGCCACACUGGGACUGAGACACGGCCCAGACUCCUACGGGAGGCAGCAGUGGGGAAUAUUGCACAAUGGGCGGAAGCCUGAUGCAGCGACGCCGCGUGAGGGAUGAAGGCCUUCGGGUUGUAAACCUCUUUCAGCAGGGAAGAAGCGAAAGUGACGGUACCUGCAGAAGAAGCACCGGCUAACUACGUGCCAGCAGCCGCGGUAAUACGUAGGGUGCGAGCGUUGUCCGGAAUUAUUGGGCGUAAAGAGCUUGUAGGCGGUUUGUCGCGUCUGCCGUGAAAAUCCGGGGCUCAACCCCGGACUUGCGGUGGGUACGGGCAGACUAGAGUGUGGUAGGGGAGACUGGAAUUCCUGGUGUAGCGGUGAAAUGCGCAGAUAUCAGGAGGAACACCGAUGGCGAAGGCAGGUCUCUGGGCCACUACUGACGCUGAGAAGCGAAAGCGUGGGGAGCGAACAGGAUUAGAUACCCUGGUAGUCCACGCCGUAAACGUUGGGAACUAGGUGUGGGUCUCAUUCCACGAGGUCUGUGCCGCAGCUAACGCAUUAAGUUCCCCGCCUGGGGAGUACGGCCGCAAGGCUAAAACUCAAAGGAAUUGACGG
rnacentral:rRNA from 1 species